AAUGAAGAACGUAGCGAAAUGCGAUACUUGGUGUGAAUUGCAGAAUCCCGUGAACCAUCGAGUCUUUGAACGCAAGUUGCGCCCGAAGCCAUCAGGUUGAGGGCACGUCUGCCUGGGCGUCACAUAUCGUUGCCCAAUGCCUAUUGCAGUGCAAUAGGAAUUUCUAGGGCGAAUGAUGGCUUCCCGUGAGCGUUGUUGCCUCGCGGUUGGUUGAAAAUCGAGUCCUUGGUAGGGUGUGCCAUGGUAGAUGGUGGUCGAGUUAGAACGAUACCGAUCAUGUGCAUGCUCCCCAAAAUAUGGCCUCUAUGACCCACACGCGUCUUUUGACGCUCAUGACGAGACCUCAGGUCAGGCGGGGCUACCCGCUGAAUUUAAGCAUAUCAAUAAGCGGAGGA
rnacentral:misc_RNA from 1 species